AUGAGGAGCUCAGUGGAGGUAAAUGCAAGGUUGCCUGGAAGAAUGUUUGCACCCCGACGGAGAACGGUGGCCUCGGCAUUCUUGAUUUGCAGAGAUUCUCUAGUGCCUUGCGCCAGUGAUGGUUGUGGCUAUCAUGGCAAAGUGAGGAAAGGCCAUGGAAGGGCUCUGAACUUCCAUGUGACAAAACUGACAUAG
rnacentral:rRNA from 1 species